CACGUAGGGGGCGAGCGUUGUCCGGAUUUAUUGGGCGUAAAGAGCUCGUAGGCGGCUCGGUAAGUCGGGUGUGAAAUUUCGAGGCUCAACCUCGAAACGCCACCCGAUACUGCUGUGGCUAGAGUCCGGUAGGGGAGCGUGGAAUUCCUGGUGUAGCGGUGAAAUGCGCAGAUAUCAGGAGGAACACCGGUGGCGAAGGCGGGGUCUCUGGGCAGUAACUGACGUUUGAGGAGCGAAAGCGUGGGUAGCAAACAGG
rnacentral:rRNA from 1 species